GACGAACGCUGGCGGCGUGCUUAACACAUGCAAGUCGAGCGGUAAGGCCCUUCGGGGUACACGAGCGGCGAACGGGUGAGUAACACGUGAGUAAUCUGCCCAUCACUUCGGGAUAACUCCGGGAAACCGGUGCUAAUACCGAAUAUGACCACUUCAGGCAUCUGAUGGUGGUGGAAAGUUCCGGCGGUGAUGGAUGAGCUCGCGGCCUAUCAGCUUGUUGGUGGGGUAGUGGCCUACCAAGGCUUCGACGGGUAGCCGGCCUGAGAGGGUGACCGGCCACACGGGGACUGAGACACGGCCCAGACUCCUACGGGAGGCAGCAGUGGGGAAUAUUGGACAAUGGGCGAAAGCCUGAUCCAGCAACGCCGCGUGAGGGAUGACGGCCUUCGGGUUGUAAACCUCUUUCAGCAGGGACGAAGCGCAAGUGACGGUACCUGCAGAAGAAGCACCGGCCAACUACGUG
rnacentral:rRNA from 1 species